ensembl:lncRNA
AGCCCUUUGAUCGCCGAUCUCAGCUGCCUCGGAGCCGUCCUGGACGGAUCAGCAGCGACCGACCGCGUGGUUCAAAGGGAUUCUGGACGGUUACUUCACUCAGGGAACCCCUGUGCCAACGAAGCAGCCCGGCAGCUCUCGUGAGAGCGGCUGAUGCAGUGCGUGGGCGUUGCCUGGGCAACGGCUUGCAUUCAUGCCUCGUGCCUUAAAAAAAAAGCCUCGAGCACCAGAGACAAAAAGGAGGGGUCCGGUCUGUGAACCACGUGGCUUCCUGUAUGGUGCUGUUGCACACCGUUCAUCUUUCUGUCAACUUUUCUUGGGAAGGAAGCAUAUAUGUGACAACAUUUAAUUUUCCACCACUUCUGCAAUGUUCUUCUAACUGAGAAGUAGGAGAUGUCAUUUACUAGCAGGUCCUGGCUCCAUACUGCUAACUGUUUAAAGUAGUGGUAGAUUGCCUUCAGUUCUUCGUGGAUGUGACUGUCUGGCAAGGAGUGCUUGUCUUACUGCUGCUCUCAGUUACUCAAAAGGAAGAUCUGGUAUCAACACUGAACACUAGCUUUGGGAAUCCUGCUGUCUCGGAUCAGUAUAGGGAUAUAAGAUUGUGACUUUCCGGAGAUCUGGUAACAUUACACUUCCAGUGCAUUACUAAAACAAAACACAAGAUCCCUGAAAACUGAAAUAUGGUCAAGAAGAAAAACUGUCAAUUAAUUUAAGUGUAAAAGGAAAAUGUCACGGUAAAGUGGAUUGGCAUGAAGACUGUGGAUUUGGGCAGUCCAGUCAAGGCAGACAAUCACAAAGGGGAAGCAGAGGCCAUGUGAAGUUGCAGGGUCAAACAGUCUCAGGAUAUGGUCUGCAUGUUAGCACUGAGUCAUCCCCGGGGAUCCAGAAGAAUUCAUUUGGAGAAGAAAGCAGAAGAAGCUGCCCUGAGCCACCGCAAGUGAUCAAUCACAAUUACACUAGCAAGGAUGAACACUUAAGAGCCUGGUGCAAACCCCUGUGCUGCUGAAUGCUUCGACGAUGGUAUGCAAGAAAACAGGAAGUUUCAGGAGUCAGUCCUCCUGAGAUGGAGCCCCCAGCACAAGAAAUAAGUGGUCCUGUUGGAGAGAGUCUGGAGGAGGCCAUGAGAAUGCUCAGAAAGCUUAAGCACCUCUUCUUUGAAGGCUGAGGGAGCUGGACUUGUUCAGGUUGGGGAAGAGAAGUCUCUGUGGACACCUCAUUGUGGCCUUUCAGUGCUGAAAGAGAGCUUACAAGAAAGAUGGAGAGCAACUUUACAUGGACAUGUAGUGAUAAGACAAGGGCUUAUUCCUGCUUGGACAAAUGUUCCUUGUCAACUUCUUGAAAAAUAUGUGGACCAUACUGCAGGCUCUCUGUUGUCACAGCUAGCUGGUGGUGGUGUUCAGUCUAUCAUUUAAAGCCCGCUACCUGUUAGUCUGAUUCCCCAUACCAGGUGCUGUACCAGUCUUGGAUAAGUGCAGAGAAGUGGUAAAGUUUGCUGGAUUACCUGAAGGUAAAGAGUUACUUACACUAGUGAAAGAAAGAUGUAAUUCUGAUAAGCAAAAGUGGUGUUGCAUAAAACAAGCCAGACUGCUCUAAAAUAAACAUAUAUAAUACUUUUAUGGGUAAAAAUAUAAAAAAAUGUAUAAUUGCUUCUAGAUAUAAUUCCUAUACUAACUGAAAACUUCUCUUUCCCUUGCCAUCAUAAGAGAGAUGAUUUCUCUCACCCAGAAUGAAUCACUUCUGCUGCAAGUAUGUGGCA